CCAUCACUAGACACAAGUAAAAGAGAUUUUUUAGGCUGUUCGCACCUACGCGAAUUUUCAUAUGCAAUUGUCAAUUUAUGUGUGAAAACAAAAGCAAAAAUAUUUUCUUCCUUCACUUUCACAAGUAGAAACCAAACCAAUAUCAACAGAGUCGUCAGGGCUAAUAACAUAGAGUCGCGCAAAGAUGAAACCAAAGGAACCAAUCAGUGUCAAACGAGGGUAUCAAUCGAGCAAUGGAUUUAAAAAUUUGAAUAAGUUCUUCUGUACUUAACGGUUUGAAAUAAAAAUGAAGAUCUUGACUCCAGUGGAAGUGGAGGCGGCAAGCAGGACAAGCAUUAUCGAAUCAACCGACCAGUCAUCAUUCAAAGCCCAUCGGCUGUCGGAAUCCAAGACUAGAACGAUUAGAGGGAUGUGUUAAUUUGAUUGUUUGUUAAACUAUUGACUGACAAGGAGGGAACAUUUUUUCGAGAAGAUCGGUUACCGGUGUACUUACAGUUUAUCGACAGUAUGUGACAAAUUAUAAACCAUGCACAGAAGCGUUGAAAUUCAACAAAUGUCUUUAGAACUGCGGAAUUCAUCUGGCUAUAUUAUUAAUAGUAACUAAACAAACAAGUUACUUACAGGAACAUUUGAGCGUUUCAUAUUUUUGAUAAGAUUAGUUUUAUUGAUAAGGAUACUUUUGAAUGAUUUUCCAAACUGGUUUGUUUUUUUUUACUGCGAAUAAACAGAAUGAGUUUUCUUUUUCAUAUAAA